UACAGGGGGGGCAAGGCGUUGUUCGGAAUUACUGGGCGUAAGGGCCAGUAAGGCGGCCAACUAGUCCGACGUAGAAAUCCCCAGGACCGUUAACCUGGGAACUGCGUCGGAUACUGGAUGGCUUGAAUUCGGGAGAGGGAUGCAGAAUUCCAGGUGUAGCGGUGAAAUGCGUAGAUAUCUGGAGGAAUACCGGUGGCGAAGGCGGGCAUCCUGGACCGACAUUGACGCUGAACGGCGAA
rnacentral:rRNA from 1 species